GUGCUCGCUUUGGCAGCACAUAUACUAAAAUUGGAACGAUACAGAGAAGAUUAGCAUGGCCCCUGCACAAGGAUGACACGCAAAUUCGUGAAGCAUUCCAUAUUUAA